rnacentral:lncRNA from 1 species
GCAUAUAGCGAGACAGUGAAUACAAUAAAAUACACAGUAUACAAUGGGAUACAUUGAAAUACAAUGAAGAAAAGACAAUGAAUACAAUGAAAUAUAUUAACAGAAAAUCAAGUUGCUCAGCCCCAAAUUCUGUCGUCUUUGUUCAAGAACAUACCCUAAUUCCGACGAAUCCGUCGUUUACUGAAAGUGGAUAGUGAAAACGCGCCACCUUGAUCCGGCGAUGGUGCCUUCGAUGGCAAAAAACAACGUCAAAACCUUCAAUGCCAUAUCUGAGAAGAUAUAGAAAUCAUAGAAACUUAUAUCCUUAAAUGACGAAUUGAUUGAUAAAGACAAAUUAAGAAUAUCACAUAAACUUAUAUCCUUCAAAGCCUUCAAGCCUUCAAUGACGAAUUGAGGAAGGAAGAGGAACAAUGAAUUCAAUGGAUAUGUUUUUCCCCUCUCUGUC